rnacentral:rRNA from 1 species
UUCAGAGAUGGAUUGGUGCCUUCGGGAACUCUGACACAGGUGCUGCAUGGCUGUCCUCAGCUCGUGUCGUGAGAUGUUGGGUUAAGUCCCGUAACGAGCGCAACCCUUGUCCUUAGUUACCAGCACGUUAUGGUGGGCACUCUAAGGAGACUGCCGGUGACAAACCGGAGGAAGGUGGGGAUGACGUCAAGUCAUCAUGGCCCUUACGGCCUGGGCUACACACGUGCUACAAUGGUCGGUACAGAGGGUUGCCAAGCCGCGAGGUGGAGCUAAA